rnacentral:rRNA from 1 species
CUUUCCCUCUGGCGGCAUGCCUUACACAUGCAAGUCGAACGGCAGCACGGGUGCUUGCACCUGGUGGCGAGUGGCGAACGGGUGAGUAAUACAUCGGAACAUGUCCUGUAGUGGGGGAUAGCCCGGCGAAAGCCGGAUUAAUACCGCAUACGAUCUACGGCUGAAAGCGGGGGACCUUCGGGCCUCUCGCUAUAGGGUUGGCCGAUGGCUGAUUAGCUCGUUGGUGGGGUACAGGCCUACCAAGGCGACGAUCAGUAUCUGGUCUGAGAGGACGACCAGCAACACUGGGACUGAGAAACGGCCCAGACUCCUACGGGAGGCAGCAGUGGGGAAUUUUGGACAAUGGGCGAAAGCCUGAUCCAGCAAUGCCGCGUGUGUGAAGAAGGCCUUCGGGUUGUAAAGCACUUUUGUCCGGAAAGAAAUCCUUGGCACUAAUACGGUCGGGGGAUGACGGUACCGGAAGAAUAAGCACCGGCUAACUACGUG